GUCUGUCCUGUGCAUGGCUAUACUUGCAUGCCCAGGCAAUGAACUGUGAUCUGCUAAUCUUACUAUGUUCUGGGCAUAAAGGGAAAAGAUGGUGCACAUCCUUUGUUCCCUCCUGUUGAACUCCCUCAGCAAACAUGAAGAAAGAAAAAGGAAAGAAGGAAGGGCAGAGGGGGCAGAACUAUUGGCCUAAGUGUCAGUGGAGUUAAGUGGAUAAGAAUCCAUCUGCCAAUACAGAGGACACGGGUUCAAGCCCUGGUCCGGGAAGAUCCCACAUGCGGCAGAACAACUAAUAAGCCCGUGCGCCACAACUACUGCAGCCUGCGAGCCUAAAGCCUGUGCUCCGCAACAAGAGAAGCCACCGCAAUGAGAAGCCCGUGCACCACAACCAAGAGUAG